UACGUAGGGUGCGAGCGUUGUCCGGAAUUAUUGGGCGUAAAGAGCUCGUAGGCGGUUUGUCGCGUCGGCCGUGAAAUCUCCACGCUUAACGUGGAGCGUGCGGUGGAUACGGGCAGACUUGAGUUCGGUAGGGGAGACUGGAAUUCCUGGUGUAGCGGUGAAAUGCGCAGAUAUCAGGAGGAACACCGGUGGCGAAGGCGGGUCUCUGGGCCGAUACUGACGCUGAGGAGCGAAAGCGUGGGGAGCGAACAGG
rnacentral:rRNA from 1 species